CUGCUUCAGCAUCACAUAUGCUAAAAUGGGGACGAUACAGAGAAGAUUGGCAUGGCCGCUGUGCAAGGACAACAUGCAAAUUCAUGAAAAUAUGUGAAGCAAA
rnacentral:snRNA from 1 species